GACGAACGCUGGCGGCGUGCUUAACACAUGCAAGUCGAACGGAAAGGCCCUGCUUGCGUGGUACUCGCGUGUCGCACGGGUGUGUAACACGCGGGUGUUAUCCCCUCCACAUCGGGGUAUGCCUUGGAGAAUGGGUGUAUUACAGGGGAGAGGACCUCCUGCGUGUGGUGGUGGGAAAGAAUUUUCGGUCUAGGAUGAGCUCGCGGCCUAUCAGCUUGUUGGUGGGGUAAUGGGCUACCAAGGCGGCGACGGGGGGGCGGCCGGGGAGGGUGGACGGCCACAUUGGGGCUGAGAUACGGGCCAGGCCCCUACGGGGGGGAGGAGGGGGGAAUAUUGCACAAUGGGGGCAAGGCUGAAGGAGGGAACGCGCGGUGGGGGAGACGGCCUUCGGGUUGUAAACUCCCUUCGCCAGGGGAGAAGCUGUUUGUGACGGUACCUAGAUAAGAAGCACCGGCUAACUACGUG
rnacentral:rRNA from 1 species